UACGUAGGGGGCAAGCGUUGUCCGGAUUUAUUGGGCGUAAAGAGCGUGUAGGCGGCCAGACAGGUCAGCUGUGAAAACUCGAGGCUCAACCUCGAGACGUCGGUUGAAACCGUCUGGCUAGAGUCCGGAAGAGGAGAGUGGAAUUCCCGGUGUAGCAGUGAAAUGCGCAGAUAUCAGGAAGAACACCUAUGGCGAAGGCAGCUCUCUGGGACGGUACUGACGCUGAGACGCGAAAGCGUGGGGAGCGAACAGG
rnacentral:rRNA from 1 species